CUUUCUCCGCCGGCGACCGGCGCACGGGUGAGUAACACGUAUGCAACCUGCCCCUGUCAGGGGGACAACCCGCCGAAAGGCGGGCUAAACCCGCGUACAUGCCACCGGGGCAUCCCGGAGGCAGGAAAGGCUUCGGCCGGACAGGGAUGGGCAUGCGGCGCAUUAGGCAGUAGGCGGGGUAACGGCCCACCUAACCGACGAUGCGUAGGGGUUCUGAGAGGAAGGUCCCCCACACUGGUACUGAGACACGGACCAGCUCCUACGGGAGGCAGCAG
rnacentral:rRNA from 1 species